rnacentral:rRNA from 1 species
AGUGAACGCUGGCGGUAGGCCUAACACAUGCAAGUCGAACGGCAGCACAGGAGAGCUUGCUCUCUGGGUGGCGAGUGGCGGACGGGUGAGGAAUACAUCGGAAUCUACCUUGUCGUGGGGGAUAACGUAGGGAAACUUACGCUAAUACCGCAUACGACCUUCGGGUGAAAGUGGGGGACCGCAAGGCCUCACGCGAUUAGAUGAGUCGAUGUCGGAUUAGCUAGUUGGCGGGGUAAAAGCCCACCAAGGCGACGAUCCGUAGCUGGUCUGAGAGGAUGAUCAGCCACACUGGAACUGAGACACGGUCCAGACUCCUACGGGAGGCAGCAGUGGGGAAUAUUGGACAAUGGGCGCAAGCCUGAUCCAGCCAUACCGCGUGGGUGAAGAAGGCCUUCGGGUUGUAAAGCCCUUUUGUUGGGAAAGAAAUCUUGCCGGUUAAUACCUGGCGAGGAUGACGGUACCCAAAGAAUAAGCACCGGCUAACUUCGUGCCAGCAGCCGCCGUAACAC